rnacentral:rRNA from 1 species
UACGUAGGGGGCAAGCGUUGUCCGGAUUCAUUGGGCGUAAAGAGCGUGUAGGCGGCCGCUUAAGUCCUGCGUGAAAUCUCGGAGCUCAACUCCGAGCGGUCGUGGGAAACUGGGCGGCUAGAGUGCGGGAGAGGAGAGUGGAAUUCCUGGUGUAGCGGUGAAAUGCGCAGAUAUCAGGAAGAACACCAAUGGCGAAAGCAGCUCUCUGGGACGGUACUGACGCUGAGACGCGAAAGCGUGGGGAGCGAACAGG